rnacentral:lncRNA from 1 species
GUAACACUGUCUCAGGAACAGGUCAACUACCUUGAAGGUCUUAACCUCCAGCUGUAUGGGAGUUUGUGGGCAGGAAGCAAGCAGCACAGAUCAAGGUUUAAUCAAGCAGGACAAAGCCCGGGAACACUAUGGAGUUCAGUGUCCUGCACAGCACCAGAACACAAUGUCCAUACAGGUGAACUGACAUCCUGGUGAAGGAACAGAAAUACUCUGUAGUGGCCUGGACUCAAUCAUUUUGAAAAAGUAAGGGAAAAUAACUCAGGCAUACACAACCAACAGAAUUUCCAAAACUCACUCAUCCUGAACCUUGUCUCUCAUAUGAGAAGGACAUACAAGAAGUGAAACGACUAAGCACAACAUUGCAGCUUAAAUAGUGAUCAAAGAAGAGGCAAGGAACAUAAUGAGGAG